rnacentral:rRNA from 1 species
UACGUAGGGUGCAAGCGUUGUCCGGAAUUAUUGGGCGUAAAGAGCUUGUAGGCGGUUUGUCGCGUCUGCUGUGAAAUUUCGGGGCUCAACCCCGAACUUGCAGUGGGUACGGGCAGACUAGAGUGUGGUAGGGGAGACUGGAAUUCCUGGUGUAGCGGUGAAAUGCGCAGAUAUCAGGAGGAACACCGAUGGCGAAGGCAGGUCUCUGGGCCACUACUGACGCUGAGAAGCGAAAAGCAUGGGGGAGCGAACAGG